CGGGGUGCAGCAGGCGCGAAAACUUUGCAAUAGGCGAAAGCCUGACAGGGCUAUCCCGAGUGCCAUCCGCUGAGGAAGGCUUUUACCCAGUCUAGAACGCUGGGGGAAUAAGGAGAGGGCAAGUCUGGUGUCAGCCGCCGCGGUAAUACCAGCUCUCCGAGUGGUGUGGAUGUUUAUUGGGCCUAAAGCAUCCGUAGCUGGCUAAGUUAGUCCCUUGUUAAAUCCACCGAAUUAAUCGUUGGAUCGCGGGGGAUACUGCUUGGCUAGGGGACGAGAGAGGCAGACGGUAUUUUCGGGGUAGGGGUGAAAUCCUAUAAUCCCGGGAAGACCACCAGUGGCGAAGGCUGUCUGCUAGAACGCGCCCGACGGUGAGGGAUGAAAGCUGGGGGAGCGAACCGGAUUAGAUACCCGGGUAGUCCCAGCUGUAAACGAUGCAGACUAGGUGUUUGGACGGCCACGUGCCGUUCUAGUGCCGCAGGGAAGCUGUUAAGUCUGCCGCCUGGGGAGUACGAUCGCAAGAUUGAAACUUAAAGGAAUUGGCGGGGGAGCACAAGGGCGAUUCGC
rnacentral:rRNA from 1 species